rnacentral:lncRNA from 1 species
UAUUCUUGUAAAUUUGAAGCUUUUUAUGCCGGAGUACUAUUUAUGGGUAUUAUUCAUUUAUACGGCACUAUUCAUAUGUACGGUACUAUUCACAAAGUACUAUUCAUGUGCACUAUUCAUAAAUACGGUACUAUUCAUGGGGUACUAUUCACAAAGUAAUAUUCAUGGAGUACUAUUCACAAAGUACUAUUCACAGGAUACUAUUUAUAAAGUACUAUUUAUGAAGUACUAUUCAUAAAGUACUAUUCAUGACGUACUAUUCCCAAAGUACUAUUCAUGGGGUACUAUCACUCGGGUACUAUUCACCCAGAGUACUAUUCAUGACAAAAAUUGAUUUCUUUUCGGUCCAAAUUAUUUUUGAUAUAAUAUUAUUCUUGAAUUUUACUCCACAAAGCAGUAUCAUGUUGACAAUAUGGAUAUUAUUGAAUUCUGGAUAAAUUAAAUUAUAAAUCUUUAAAAUUUAUCCUUACUUUCAUUUAAUUGAAUUCUUAUAUCAUUGUCAGCAUCCUCAUGCUUAUAUUGUGAUAAAAUUCAUCUUUGGUCGUAGUGCAUAGAUGGACUAUUGAUUGGUAUGAUUAUGACCAGGAAUUAUUCGAUAUAAUCAUGACCCAUAAUGUUAUAAAUGAUGUGGUAAAAGUCUGCAUUGGCUUGUAGUGCAUUGAUGGACAGAUGUUGGUAUAAUCAUAACCAUGCGUUCUCUUCGGCCAAGGGUGCAAAGAUGAAUUGUUGUUUGGCAUGAUCAUG